rnacentral:rRNA from 1 species
UAAGGAAUCUUUCGCAAUGGGGGCAACCCUGACGAAGCAACACCGCGUGGAGGAUGAAGGCGUUUUCGUCGUAAACUCCUUUUCUGAGGGAAUAAAUCUGAAGGUACCUCAGGAAUAAGCAUCGGCUAACUACGUGCCAGCAGCCGCGGUAAGACGUAGGAUGCAAGCGUUAUCCGGAAUUAUUGGGCGUAAAGCGUUCGUAGGCGGUUUGUUAAGUUGGAUGUCAAAGCCUUGAGCUCAACUCAAGUUAGGUAUUCAAAACUGGCAGACUCGAGACAGGUAGAGGCAAGUGGAAUUCUGUAUGUAGGGGUAAUAUCCGUAGAUAUACAGAGGAACACCAAAAGCGAAGGCAGCUUGCUGGACCUGUUCUGACGCUCAAGAACGAAAGCGUGGGGAGCAAACGGG